UGACACGGCAUUCCCUGUUACCCACUCUUUGCUGUAGCUGUGCCUUCACUUGUCUCUGAGCACAGAGUGGGGGGCCAGCCCCAGCCCUGCCCUUGGGGUGCUUACAGUGGGCCCCAGGUAGCUGCAGGCCUCAGAGAUCUCAGCUGUCAGAAUCUCAGAACACAGGAGCUGAAAGGGCCCAAGAGCAAGUCUGUCCCCUGCUUUUUAUUGGAGAGGUGAUGGAGUAAGCGAUAGGGCCAUCACUGGGACCCAGGGCUCCUGCCCCUGACAGCAGUGUCAUCUGGUAGGAGCGUUAAGCUGCCCCACAGUCUGGCAGUUACAUCAGCCCCCACCAAAGGACCUAGAUCACCUCCUGGAGAAGCCUGAGGGAGAUGGGUUCUUGAUGAAGAUGGACAAAAAUGUCCCUUGGAUACUAAAACGGCCAUCUUCCCUGGCUUUUUGAGAUCAUGCUCUCAGAAAUUAGAAGACUUGGGUUCUGCUUCCAGUAUGCUCAAGGACCAUGAUCAGCUGACUCCUGGAGGUUUUCAUUUAUCAGAUUGAUGUACAACUCUGACAGGUAACCAGGAGGAAUGAAGUCCAGCAUGAAUUUGGCCCCCAUCAGAUGUGUAGAAGAGCCAGGGGAUGAGGGUCUAGAGAGGGAACAACUGAUGAAUAAAAAAGCUCC
rnacentral:lncRNA from 1 species